rnacentral:rRNA from 1 species
CUGACCGUAAACUAUGCCAUCUAACGAGUCGGUAUUGGUUAUUAAUUGCCAUUUUGACGAGUUACCCGGAAACGAAAGUCUUUCGGUUCCGGGGGGAGUAUGGUUGCAAAACUGAAACUUAAAGGGAUUGACGGAAAGUCACCACCAGAAAUGGAGCCUGCGGCUUAAUUUGACUCAACACGGGAAAACUCACCCGGUCUAGACACUAAAAUGAAUGACAGACUGAUAUAUCUCUCAAGAUAUAGUGCAAAGUGGUGCAUGGCCGUUCUUAGUUCGUGGAGUAAUCUGUCUGGUUAAUUUCGAUAACGAACGAGACUAGAACAUAGUUAAUUGUGUGUGAUACCGUACAAAUAUUACACGGUGAUAAAUGGAUAUGCAAAUUAAAUUGCCUGAAAACUGGCAAUAACAGGUCUGUUAUGCCCUUAGUUGUCCGGGGCCGCACGCGCGCUACAAUGGAAAUUGCAGUGCGUAUAUACUAUAUCGAAAGAUAUGGUUAAACGUGUCAAAUUAUUCCGCAUUCGGGAUCGGAGACUGUAAUUGUUUCCGGAACGAGGAACUCAAGUAAGUGUGUGUCAUUA